AAAGCAGGACGCAAUUACAGUGCUAACUUUUGUGGGAGUACUGCCAUUAACCUGCUGAGAGCAUCCUUGUACUGUAGUCAUAAGUGCUGUCAUUUCCCAUAUGACAUGUGAAAGCUCUAUAGUGGAGACAGAU